UCCAAUUAUUAUAACAGGAAAUGGAUAAAACCUGCUUUCUGUCCUCACUCCUAGAUGAGGUGUUGCCAAGGUAAUAAAAUUCAUCUGCUCGAGCCCAGCAAGGCUACCUCGCGGAAGAUGUGAGUUCCCAGAGUUAGAGAGAGCAGCACCAUCACUGGCUUGUGACACUGCUGCUGAAUAAAGAACGGCAACAGCAUGUCUCUGCGAUAAGCCACCGAGGGAGUGUGCUAAAAAGGAAAUCUUCUUUAAGCUCUUGUUCUUUUGGAUAACUUGUCUAACCUAUAUUCUCUCUCUCACAUCAUAUAGAGACAGAUAAUCAGCUUAUACACUCAAGUUCAAGAACAACCUAGAUCUAUACAUUAAGUGGACUAUAAAACAGAGUGUAGCAGAAAUGAUAAAAACAAAAUUUCAGAUACAACAACACUUGCAAGCUUCUACUAUCCUAACCUGAAUGAGAGGCAUCUAUAAUACAAAAACCAAGAUGCAAAGGCAUAUCAUACCUGGCUAAGAUGCCGUGUACAAGAACAAGAAGGUGAUCAGGUUCAAUUUUCUCAUCAAAUGAUUUUACAGAAUCAA